GUUAUUUCUACAACAAAUUCAAAGGCUCUAGACAUUCUUAGGUUUGAGCCUGACCGACCAAGCAGAUUUGUUGCUGGAAGAAAAAGAAGGAAUAUAGUGUGACACAUAUAGAUUCUAGUAACAAAAUCCCAAUCUCUUUGUUUGAAGCUUUGCCAGGAAGCUUAUACUUGCUUAGAAUGUGUGCACUACUUGAAACUGAGAGAACUCUCAGAAGAAGGAAGAAACAUGCAAGGGAAUAAACGCAGCGAGAGUAGAGGAUUGAUUUGAGGCAUCUCUUUCACUUUGUUGGUUGCUAAUCGCAUUCUUGUACUUGUGGUUACACUUGGUAAUCUCUUGGUAUUUUCUUUUCUGCAGGUCAUGGUUCUUGUUUCUUCUCUGGAAGAGAUGUCUUCUUCUUGAGAUUCCUUUUGCAUUCGGGUGACGUUCGGUAAUGACUAUUGCUUUUCAAGCUUGUUUUCUCUCAGUUUCAUAUAAUUCUUAACAGAAAUGUUCCAGAGAUGAUGAGCUUUGGUCAUCACAUACCUCAUUUUUAUCAACCAUAUGCAUGUAUAAAAUUUUGCAGUGUUGUUGAAUUUCUUAGUAGACUAGUUUGGCCAUUAUGCUUAGUCUAAAAAUGUUCCAGAGAUGAGCUUUGGCAAUUAUUCUGGAUUAUUUCUUCAUGUUGAGGUUCUGCACCUCGAUCUUUCUUUUCGACAAAAGAUCUUAUCUUAGGUCUAAUUAUAUCAUAGUUUAUACAUUUAUGCCUUAAUAAUUAGGUAUAAUGUAGAUAUAUAUUGAUUUAGUAGGCACAAUUUAGAUACAUAUGUUGGUCAAAUUGUUUCACGAAGUCUGAUGUAUGUGGUUGUAUUGGAUGUUCAGUUUGUGGCCAAUUGAGAUGGGCCGAACCGAGAUCCGGUCGGAGUUAGAAAAAUCUGAACCGGUUCGAAGUCAACCAGUCCAGUCGUACAUGGUUUACCUUCUAGAAAAGUCAGCAAUUUCUCGUUUGUGUUGGUUUUGCGCUUCUUUCAAAUCGUUUACUGCUGUUCCACGAAAUCACAAACUACCUGGAAUAUAGACCUGGCACUUUACCUACCCUUUUAUUGGAGGCGUCGCCGGUCCCACAGGUCCGUCACUGUGCAGGUAGGCCAUGGGAAAACGACACGGGUGAGGAACGAGUAUUAUUUGGUUGGUCUAUUUAUUUGAUGUGUUUGUUUCCGUUCCAGAAGUGGAAACACCAGAAGCUUCUCCUCGGUUCAAAUCCACGCGCUCCGUCUAAGCAGGUGACGUCCUCGACUGUCUCUCUCGAUCUCUGAUAUUUGUUUCCUUUCCCUCCAAGGCUGCUGCAACGCGAUCACACAAGCCGAGAAGACCAAGAGACAACGACGGUAACUAAACCCUUCUCUCUCUGUAUCUCUCUCGGCGAUGGUCGUGUCUUGUGGCAUCGAGUGCGUGUUCUGCCUGGGGUGCACGCGGUGGGCCUGCCGCCGCUGCGGGUACGUCGGCGCCGACGACAGCGCCGCCUGGGCGCCCGCCACGCCCGAUGAGUUCGCCCCCGUUCCCCGCGCCUGCCGCGCCGUCCUUGCGGCCUACGAAGACGACCUCGCCCGCCCCCGCUGGGCCCCCGCUCGCCCCGGCGGGUAUCGGAUGGAUCCCGCCGCCGUCGUCAAACGCGCCUCCUACGCCGACACCCGCGGCCGCUGCCCGCCCUACCUCCUCUACGUCGACCGCGCCGCCCGCGAAGUCGUCCUUGCCGUCCGUGGCCUCAACCUUGGCCACGACGCCGACUACCGCCUCCUGCUCGACAACCCUCCCGGUUCCCAGCCCUUCGAUGGCGGCUACGUCCACCUCGGCCUGCUCAAGGCCGCCGCCUGGCUGCUCAACCGCGAGGCCGACACCCUGUGCCACCUCCUUAGGGAUUGCGGGCCCGAGUAUGGCCUCGUGCUGGUCGGCCACUCGCUCGGCGCCGGCGUGGCGGCCCUCAUGGCCAUGCUGGUGGUGAACCAACUCGACCGGUUCGGGGAGAUCCCAAGGAGCCGCGUCCGAUGCUACGCCAUCUCGCCGGCCAGGUGCAUGUCGCUGAAUCUUGCGGUGAAGUACGCUGACGUGAUCCACUCCGUGGUGUUGCAGGAUGAUUUCCUUCCAAGAACGCCAACACCUUUGCAACAUAUUUUUGGAUCUGUUUUCUGUCUGCCAUGUUUGUUAUUUUUGGUUUGCAUGAGAGAUACAUUUAUAUCUGAAGAUAGAAAGCUUAAGGAUCCAAAAAGGCUCUACGCCCCCGGUCGGAUGUAUCAUAUUGUGGAGAGAAAAUUUUGCAGGUAUCAAGUCCUUAACAUCACUGUCAUGUUUCUAUAAGGUAUUCUCCCCCUUUUUUUUAUAGGUUUUAAUGUCUGUACAUCCACUUUGUCAAACCUCUUUUAUCUGGUCAAACUACACUGUGACAUCCUCUCACUAAUUGUUAUGAAAAAUCACAUUGCGGGUGUUUGAAGUGGCGGUGUGUGAAGCACUUUCUGAUGCAAUAUUCAUCAAAAUUUAGUAUGGGAAUAUCCUUAUUAGCACCACUUGAACUUUAGAAGUGGAAUAGUAUAGUCGAUUAUUAUCAACUUAUAUCUUACUUAACCAUGAUAAACAUUACUUUCUUCAUCUAGUAGGUUACGAACUAGGAAAAACCAUUGUUUUUAAUGCUGUUUAUGAAGCACUCCUGCUUAAAUUAUGUACCUUAAUAUUAAGAUUCUAAUUCCUUCAAGAAAUUCAAAAGUUUUAUAAGGUUCUUUUUCUUAGAGAGGUAAUAUGGUUUUAUAAAUUUAAAUCCUAAACUUUUUGUGUUCUUAGCUUUUUCUUAAAUCACCUUGCCACUUAAGUGAUGUUGCUGUCAAGUAUAUCAUAGAAGCAUCACAAAAUUUUGUUUUUCAGGACUUGCAUCUGAAGAAAUACACUGUAAUGCUGUUGAGAAUUUCCAAUGUUCGAUUUGUAAAUGAUUUUUCUGUAAAAUCAUUAAUACUUGUGGUUAUUGAAAUCUGGCCUUGAAUAAUUUGGUAUCAUUGCGAUUAAUAUAGAUGUGGCAGACUCCCUCCUGAGGUGAGAACAGCCGUUCCUGUCGAAGGAAGAUUCGAGCAUAUAAUACUAUCAUGCAAUGCUAUGUUCGAUCAUGGAAUCAUUUGGACGGAGCGAGAAGCUCAGAAAGCUUUAGAAAUAAUGCUUAAAGGAAAUGUCAUGACAACCCCUCCGUCGAGGCAACAGAUGGAGGGAAGGGGGUCUCUUCAGGAAGAACACAAUGAGGCACUGGAAAGAGCUUUGAGCUUGCACCUGCCUCACCCUGCCUCACAACACAGCUUACCCUUCCAAG